GAUUCAGGGUAGGGGCGUGGGGUAUUGUUUGGGUGGAAUCCAUUGUGGUAUUCAGGUAAGUGUUGUUUCGUCAAAGUAUUAAUACAAUGUGAUCAUAAAUAAAGAAGUUAUGGCAAUUUAAGCAAAAUGUUCAAUUAUCUAAGUGUAAAAGGGGCCAUAAUAAUGUAAAAAUGUGGUCUGCUCUUGUUUAUAGGUUGGGGUCAUGUUGGUAAACAAGUAUGCAAAAUAUAAAAGCAAUAUGUCAAAGGAUAUAGGAAAUAUUUGGGGUAGUGAGCAAACUUUAACAUAGAUUUAUCAAUAAUAUGCAUAUUCUGAGUAUAAAAGGGGCAAUAAUUAUGAUAAAAUGCUUGAUAGAGUUGUCUGCUCUUGUUUAUAGGUUUGGGUGAUGUUGGUAAACAAGUAUGCAAAAUAUGAAAGCAAUAUGUCAAGGGACAAUGAAAAUAAAUGGGGUAGUACGCAAACUUUAACAUUUGCUGCAUUUUCUAAGUGGAAAAGGGGC